CCUACGGGAGGCAGCAGUGGGGAAUAUUGCGCAAUGGGCGAAAGCCUGACGCAGCGACGCCGCGUGAGGGAUGAAGGUCUUCGGAUCGUAAACCUCUGUCAGCAGGGAAGAACGGUCACUGGGCUAAACAGCAGUGAAUUGACGGUACCUGCAAAGGAAGCACCGGCUAACUCCGGGCCAGCAGCCGCGGUAAUACGGAGGGUGCGAGCGUUAAGCGGAAUUACUGGGCGUAAAGCGCUCGUAGGCGGUAUGUCAAGUCACGGGUGAAAGCCCCGCGCUCAACGUUGGAACUGCCUUUGAAACUGGCAACCUGGAGUGUGUGAGAGGUUAGUGGAAUUCCAGGUGUAGGCGU
rnacentral:rRNA from 1 species